GGCAUGAUGGGAGUCUGGCUAAGGCAAAGCAUCAUGGGAGUCUGGCUAAAGCAAAGCAUCAUGGGAGCUAGGUGUCAGCUGGGAGCCUGGCUAAGUGCCUAGAGGGUCCUACCCAAGCUCGGGGAGUCAUUGUGCUAGCUGCCGCACAGACACAUAGUAAAAGACGGUGCCUGCUCCGAAGAAUUUGCAAACGAAAUAGGCAAGACAGACAAAGGUUGAGAGAGGACACAGAGGAGUGAAGUGACUUGUCCAACAUCACACAGAAGAUCAGCGGCAGAACCAGGAAUAGAACCCAGGUGGCCUGGGUCCCUGUCCAUCGCCUUAACAUGGAUGUCAUUACUGUGCCCAUUACUAGGCUCAUUCUAUUGCCUGGAAUUGAAAGGGGCCACAGGAAAUCAGAUUUUGGAGCUGUUGCCACGAACAGCUGACCCCAUUGAUUUCUAUGGAUUUAAGUCUGCUGACACUUGUAAACAGAACUGAAUUGAGGACCACAGCAGAAAGAAACCAAAACAAUGGAAAUUCAUUCCAGAGAAGUCACUCCUUCUAGAUGCAUUCCCUGUCCUGGCAAUAUGCCUUG